GGGCUGUACAUAUCUGUGGGCUCUUCCUCCUGCUCCUGUCACCACAACAACUAGUGUGUGGAGCACAACUAGCCUGACCCUCCUAAAUGCAGCAGUCCAAUCCCCUAAAAAAAGGAAGCUGUUUCCAGCAUUAGAAACAUGGUAUGUAUAGAAAACUCAAACAGGAAGACAAAACAUCAAGAAAAUUUUUAAGAUACAGGGG